UAAUUCUUGCACAGUUCUGGAAAUUUCCAGUCUCUCUUUUUUUUUCUUUUUUCUUUUAACUCUUUUUAUUAGCAUUAUUUUAUUUAGUUCAUUAAACUGAUUUUUGUUUAUGGGGUAUUUCAGUCGACGAGUUGCCUGUCUCCUAAAUCAUUUAGGAAAUAAAUCCACCGCAACAAGACUACUAUUUUGAGGAAUUUACUCUGGGAACUAUUUUACUUCAAUUUGGCGGAAGGAUAACUGCAGUGGUGAGUUGUCAGUCCUACAGGUCUAUAUAAAGAGACAGCGGACCAGAUUCUAUGCAAGCUUUUUGUCGGGUGGAAGAAUGGGUCUGCGGAGAGGGAGGAAGAGCACAGGCUUGCUCUUUGUUCCAUUUGCAGCUAGGAGUGGUCCUGUGAACGAGGUGUCAUCAGGCGGUGUGCUGGAUCAUGCUUGCCCUAGGGAAGAAUGUUCUGAUGAUCUUGAGUCCCAACUGUAACUGAGGAGCACAGAUAAAUCAGCGGUAUUCUGUACAAUAGUUUUUAUUUGCUGGAAUUUAGAAUAACCUAAUACAACAGUAAGUCUAAGGAGGGGAUAUAGCUGGUGGUGACGUCACUGCAGCGUAGUGUAUAACUUUAGGUAACCACAAGGUGGCAGUGUCUGUUUUAAUCAUAAGUCAUUUAACAAUGAUGGGUUAAGUGAGAGGUGUAGCCUUUUAUGGCUGAGGGGGGGAAAGGGGGGGGGGGUGCAUUUGAGUUCUCCACUUUUAUUUUCCAGGUCUAACUCCUCCUUGUGAAACCUUGAACUGAAUAGGCUCCAACUGCUCUAAAUUAAAACGUUGACGUAACUUGACGAAGGUUUAUACAGACAUCUGGCAUUGGUAUCUUACUUUUUCAGCUACUGGCUAGGCUGUGCCCCAGACUACUGAUGAAUCUUUUUAAUUUCUGUAUAGUAAUGUCCUAAUCUGUGUAGUGGAGGGGUUUAAGGUUAUAAAUUAUGUCCAUCUUUCUAUUAUGGGGUAGUAAGUAUACAAAGUAGGGCAGGUGCUAAGAUAUCUGCAUACAUAUGUGGGUGGGGGGAGGGGUUAUAAAUGGAUAUUUUUAGAUUCUUUACAGAUAACACCCACAUACCAAGCAGUUCGUGUUUCCUGCCACAAGAACCACAGUGGAUCCUAACAUGAUGCUUCCCUUAGCCUGAGAUGUACGACCUGAGACCAGUGUACCGUUAGGAGUUUGUCCCUCCCUUGUUGGCCAAAGAUGUUUCCUACAUGUGCCUGUGAUAUUCUGCAUCCCAAAGUCCCAUUACUGCGGUCCACUUCAUAGAAGAGCUCCUUGGUUCCUGCCAGUCGUCAGAUGUCCUAGAUUUGGGUCCCUCCUAAAGAUGCGCAUCUAGUGUUUAUCCUUACUCUGCUUGCUAUAGCCCUAGACUGCCCACUAUGAACAUUCUUCUCUUCACUAUGAGGAUAACAAAGCCCCCAGUUAAGAACUUUUAUUAUGCCAAGUCUGUGCCCGCUAUAAAAACUCUGUCCUUCUCCCUAUGGAUGAAAAUCGAAGUUGAUAGUUUAUAAACCUGCAGUGAAAAGCAGGGCAAUCUUCAGUUGUUAUGCUGUAUAUAUUUGCUGUGCUUGUUGGCACAAACUGUGCUAACUAUUUAUACUGUAACUUGCUCCAUGUACAUAUGAGUUUACUAUAGUGUGUGCCACAUGAGCUACACACUUUGCUUGUUUGUAUGUUACAAUUAUUCGUGAUUUGUGUUUGAGUCCUUAUUUGUGGUACCAGAAAGGCUUGUGUUUUUAUUUCUGUGGUAUGGGGUAAAAUAGUGUUACUUUUACUGGUCGUCUUAAAUUGAGCUUCCUACAGUAAUAUUAACCUAAACCAAAUGCGGAAGUACAUUUGCUGAAUGAGGUAUCAAAUGAUAAAUUACAUCUACACUUAAAUGUAAUACAACACACAACUUGACUUCACUGAAGAUUUGAGUCUGCAAGCAGAUAUUGUGACACCAACAGUUAAAGCAGAGCUUCAGCCACAACUAAGGAUGGCCAAGGAACAAGCCCGGAAUGGUCCACAUGACUAGAUUGUAAAUAUAUAGAAAGGAAUAAGCAUAACAUUAAAAUGAAACAGUCCACACUAAAUCACAGUAUAACAUGGACAGAACACUUUAUUCUAAAACACUGGUGAUACUAUCCGGGUAAUACUUUGCACCAAGGCAUUUACUUAGAUUACCUUUCAAAGUGGUAUGAGGCUUUGUGAGCAGUAAAUCUGUAAUACUUGGUUCUACGGUGUGUUAGUGAAGUUGUCAGGUGUUUAUAAAAAAAAAUACUUUGUCAAUUAAUACCUUAUUCACAAACCCAAUGGUAAAUGCAAUGGCUGUACUGUGCACAGUGGAUGUCAUUGCUGGUCAUGUACAGCGUGACUAGAUAAACCCAUGUGGGCUGGUGUUCUGGGUGUUUUUUUUAAAGUUACAAAUACUUCCAUAAUUGCAUCAGUGAAAUACUACCACAGGAAUACAAAAUAAACCUCUCUAUACUUCGGUCUAUUUAAACCAAACCUGAUGAAACUGUGCCUUAUGGUUUAUGUAACUAUGGAUUCAUUACAUCUUUCAGAUAAUUAAACCAACAUUAAUGAUUUCAUGUGAACCUGAAAUCUCAACUUCCAUUUUUAUAUACAUUCCAAGUGACAAAUCUGCCUGUACAAUGGAGGGGUUGAUGCUGGGUUAAACUCAAGCAAGUCAAAUAUAAUCUAGUUGGGGGGGGGAGAAAAUGGCAUGGUUGAUGCUACAAUGUUAUCAGAUUGAGGUGUUUGGAUUUUCUAGUAAGAGAUUAGUCAGGUAUACAGUCUUUUUAUUUAUUUUUUGUUUAAGAAGGACUUCCAAGUCUUAUACCUGUGUUUUUUAUUUUAUUUUAUGGUAGGUGUUUGAACAGUUAUGUUUUAUCACUAUAAAUACCUGCUAAAAUGUACUUUAUAAAUUUCAUAUAAAUUAAAAUCUUGAUUUUUAUUUUUACUAUAUUUAAAUAAAAGUAAAGUUCUUUGUUAAAAA